GGUUAAGUGACUAAGCGUACACGGUGGAUGCCUAGGCAGUCAGAGGCGAUGAAGGACGUACUAACUUGCGAUAAGCGCAGAUAAGGCAGUAAGAGCCGUUUGAGUCUGCGAUUUCCGAAUGGGGAAACCCAACUGCAUAAGCAGUUACUGUUAACUGAAUACAUAGGUUAACAGAGCAAACCGGGGGAACUGAAACAUCUAAGUACCCCGAGGAGAAGAAAUCAACCGAGAUUCCGGUAGUAGCGGCGAGCGAACCUGGAUUAGCCCUUAAGCACUCGUUGAAGUAGGUGAACAAGCUGGAAAGCUUGGCGAUACAGGGUGAUAGCCCCGUAACCGACGCUUCAUCGAGCGUGAAAUCGAGUAGGGCGGGACACGUGAUAUCCUGUCUGAAUAUGGGGGGACCAUCCUCCAAGGCUAAAUACUCCUGACUGACCGAUAGUGAACCAGUACCGUGAGGGAAAGGCGAAAAGAACCCCUGUGAGGGGAGUGAAAUAGAACCUGAAACCGUGUACGUACAAGCAGUAGGAGCACCUUCGUGGUGUGACUGCGUACCUUUUGUAUAAUGGGUCAGCGACUUAUAUUCAGUGGCAAGGUUAACCGUAUAGGGGAGCCGUAGCGAAAGCGAGUCUUAACUGGGCGCUCAGUCUCUGGAUAUAGACCCGAAACCGGGUGAUCUAGCCAUGGGCAGGUUGAAGGUUGAGUAACAUCAACUGGAGGACCGAACCGACUAAUGUUGAAAAAUUAGCGGAUGACUUGUGGCUAGGGGUGAAAGGCCAAUCAAACUCGGAGAUAGCUGGUUCUCCCCGAAAGCUAUUUAGGUAGCGCCUCGGACGAAUACUACUGGGGGUAGAGCACUGUUAAGGCUAGGGGGUCAUCCCGACUUACCAACCCUUUGCAAACUCCGAAUACCAGUAAGUACUAUCCGGGAGACACACGGCGGGUGCUAACGUCCGUCGUGGAGAGGGAAACAACCCAGACCGCCAGCUAAGGUCCCAAAGUAUUGCUAAGUGGGAAACGAUGUGGGAAGGCUCAGACAGCUAGGAUGUUGGCUUAGAAGCAGCCAUCAUUUAAAGAAAGCGUAAUAGCUCACUAGUCGAGUCGGCCUGCGCGGAAGAUGUAACGGGGCUAAGCAAUACACCGAAGCUGCGGCAAUAUCUUUUAGAUAUUGGGUAGGGGAGCGUUCUGUAAGCCGUUGAAGGUGAAUCGUAAGGUUUGCUGGAGGUAUCAGAAGUGCGAAUGCUGACAUGAGUAACGACAAAGGGGGUGAAAAACCUCCUCGCCGGAAGACCAAGGGUUCCUGUCCAACGUUAAUCGGGGCAGGGUGAGUCGACCCCUAAGGUGAGGCCGAAAGGCGUAAUCGAUGGGAAACGGGUUAAUAUUCCCGUACUUCUGACUAUUGCGAUGGGGGACGGAGAAGGCUAGGUGGGCCAGGCGACGGUUGUCCUGGUUCAAGUGCGUAGGCUUGAGAGUUAGGUAAAUCCGGCUCUCUCUAAGGCUGAGACACGACGUCGAGCUGCUACGGCAGUGAAGUCAUUGAUGCCAUGCUUCCAGGAAAAGCCUCUAAGCUUCAGAUAGUCAGGAAUCGUACCCCAAACCGACACAGGUGGUCGGGUAGAGAAUACCAAGGCGCUUGAGAGAACUCGGGUGAAGGAACUAGGCAAAAUGGUACCGUAACUUCGGGAGAAGGUACGCUCUUGAUGGUGAAGUCCCUCGCGGAUGGAGCUGACGAGAGUCGCAGAUACCAGGUGGCUGCAACUGUUUAUUAAAAACACAGCACUGUGCAAAAUCGCAAGAUGACGUAUACGGUGUGACGCCUGCCCGGUGCCGGAAGGUUAAUUGAUGGGGUUAGCGCAAGCGAAGCUCUUGAUCGAAGCCCCGGUAAACGGCGGCCGUAACUAUAACGGUCCUAAGGUAGCGAAAUUCCUUGUCGGGUAAGUUCCGACCUGCACGAAUGGCGUAAUGAUGGCCACGCUGUCUCCACCCGAGACUCAGUGAAAUUGAAAUCGCUGUGAAGAUGCAGUGUACCCGCGGCUAGACGGAAAGACCCCGUGAACCUUUACUACAGCUUGGCACUGAACAUUGAACCUACAUGUGUAGGAUAGGUGGGAGGCUAUGAAGACGUGACGCCAGUUGCGUUGGAGCCGUCCUUGAAAUACCACCCUUGUAUGUUUGAUGUUCUAACUUAGACCCAUUAUCUGGGUUGAGGACAGUGCCUGGUGGGUAGUUUGACUGGGGCGGUCUCCUCCCAAAGAGUAACGGAGGAGCACGAAGGUGGGCUAAUCACGGUUGGACAUCGUGAGGUUAGUGCAAUGGCAUAAGCCCGCUUAACUGCGAGAAUGACGGUUCGAGCAGGUGCGAAAGCAGGUCAUAGUGAUCCGGUGGUUCUGUAUGGAAGGGCCAUCGCUCAACGGAUAAAAGGUACUCCGGGGAUAACAGGCUGAUACCGCCCAAGAGUUCAUAUCGACGGCGGUGUUUGGCACCUCGAUGUCGGCUCAUCACAUCCUGGGGCUGAAGUCGGUCCCAAGGGUAUGGCUGUUCGCCAUUUAAAGUGGUACGCGAGCUGGGUUUAGAACGUCGUGAGACAGUUCGGUCCCUAUCUGCCGUGGGCGUUGGAAGAUUGAAGGGGGCUGCUCCUAGUACGAGAGGACCGGAGUGGACGAACCUCUGGUGUUCGGGUUGUGUCGCCAGACGCAUUGCCCGGUAGCUAAGUUCGGAAUUGAUAAGCGCUGAAAGCAUCUAAGCGCGAAGCGAGCCCUGAGAUGAGUCUUCCCUGAUACUUUAAGUAUCCUAAAGGGUUGUUCGAGACUAGAACGUUGAUAGGCAGGGUGUGUAAGCGUUGUGAGGCGUUGAGCUAACCUGUACUAAUUGCCCGUGAGGCUUAACCAU
rnacentral:rRNA from 1 species